rnacentral:sRNA from 1 species
CUCCCCCGGACCUUGUAAAAUUUCUAAUCAAGAGACUCAGUGAGUCAGUCAGCCCACCACGUGACUCCUGCAGAAGAUUCAGCCCAUUGAAGCGAGUGGGAGCUGAGCGGGCCACCACUCAGCCCUACUUCUUCACACCCAGCACCUACCCUGGGGUUACACUACAAGCAGUUUCUGCGAACUCCCUCUGAGGUCGGAAAGAUACACAGCCCUCCCUCCUGGGUACCGCUUAUUCCCUUCCCCACUUCCUUAUUAAUGACAGGCACAUCCCUGGAGCCACCAGCUCAGCUCCGCCUCCCUUCCAGCGCAGCCUCUGAUUGGACCUCUGUCUGGCUCCUCCCACUUCUUCCCCAGACCAGCCUCUGGCAUUAGCUUGCCCUCACCCUCCUUGAAGGUCGGGUGCUCCACUACUGGAGGUAGAAGGGUGGAAUUGCGCUUGUUUUGCCCUACUUCAAAUACUUUUUGGGGGGCUGCGUGAGACUAUGAAGAAAUACUGGGGGAGUAGGCCAUGGGCCUUUCUAGCUUGAGACCCGGGCCUGCAGCUCGGACCCUCUGAGAACCUCAUGAAAGCAUUCCAGGAUGUAAUAAACCCGUCAAGCCUCGGCUAAUUUAUAUGGAAGCAGAUGAUUUCCCAUUUUUUAGAAUGUAAAUGUUUACAUUGUAGCAUUCCCCUGCCCCCGGCAUCCGGGGCCCUGGCACGUCAGUGAUGGAAUCAGCCGCUUCUCCUCGGGGAUCCUUAGAUGGAAGCGUCACGAUGCCAAGAAGCGUCCCGCUUUCAGCCAGCCCGGGUGUGCAAACCCCGCACCAAGGAAGGCCACCAAGCGUUUGCUUAAUGUUACCAAGUUCCACGUGGCUCUUACAGAGGAGAAGUAGCACUUUUAAGGGUAAGCCUCAGAACAGAGGGUGCAAUUCUGACUAUGUAGCUUCCCAAGGUCUCUUUGCUACACUUCUCUCCUCUAAGACAGUCAAUUCCUUACGAGCUCUAAUGUAUUAGCUUUAUAUGGGAGUUUUGUGUUGUAGAAAUAGUGACUAGCAUAGAUGGGUGGGAAACCUUGACAACAAUCCAAGGAAAUUAUGCUUUAGCUCAUAGACCCCCUGAGUGCCCUACUACCCCUCUGUGUGCAGGUCUGCUUGAGGCUAAGAACCCUGCCCUUUAACACUCUGGGUGUCUGUGAACAAGUGCAACUCCUAGAAAAGGGUUCGCCACUUGGUCAUAAGCCCCAGAAACUACAAAGGUCUCCUUGGAUCCCUGUGAGAGCAAAGAGCCACUGCGAUUCGUGCCACUGGUCACCCAGGCACGCCUGGGGUUCUGGUGCCUGCUCCAUUAGACAAGCGCAUGUUCUGUUCAAUAGGAGCCAUAUAUGCUACCUGGACCUUUAGCUUCCUCACUGGCCAAGUGAGGAAGUAUGUCUGACCCUCCCCACCUCUAACAAAUAGUGAGGGAGAAGUAAAAGCCCUUCCCCCACCCAGGAGUGGGAAAAGAUACAGCACCUUGGAACCCUGGUCCUUCGGUUACUACCAUGCCGGACUGUGUGUCCUUGGGUAAGUGACUCACCUCUCUGUGCUCCGUGUUCUUUAAGAUGACGAGAUACUAAACUAUAGUAGCAAUCUCCUAGCUACUAAUAAUUGCCAGGUGCUGAGUUUUUCACUCCCUGGUCUACAGAGCAGUCAGUGAGGGUAUCUGAGACUGGACCAUCUGCCUGGCAAACAAUGCUUGCCGGCUGGCUGGUGGCAGACAGUGCUCAAGGACUGGAGAAGGCGGGUGUGACCCAGGGGCAUUCUUGCACUCAAGAGAUCCUGUGCCUCACCCCGCCCCCCAUCAGAUCAAUGGAUCAACUGUAACUGUGAUGUACCUGACCACCGUUCUCCAUACCUGCUCUCAGAAUCCAUGGCAAAAACAGGGGUCAGCCCCCUCUCCAGCUGAACUAGGUCACCUGAGGACACAGUUUCCAGGGAAAACAUCUGAGUGAGCCUCUCCAGUCCAUCUCAGCCUUGCUGGGGUCUAAAGCUCAUGGCAGCCCGAGACCCCAUAGCCACCAGUGCAGAAGACCAAGCCCACUGUCUCCAUCAACCUGAAGCCUGUCCAGAGCUCAGCAGGUAGCCCUCCUCCUGCUUCUAAGAACCAAGCGUCAUUCGGUCAGCUUAGAGCCAUUUCUCUUCCUCCAGGGAAAUGCAAUCGACUAAGGGCCCUUCCCUACUCCACCCCCAGGUCUCCCCAGCCUUGUAACCUGAGUGCCCCCCAAACACUUUCUGGCAGUUUCUGCUCCAGCCAGCUCUAGACCUGCUAGAGAUUCUCUUGUUUUUAUCCUAGUGACUGUGAGUGGCAUCUCUGGCCCCAGCCUUGGUGGGAUUUAAUGAGCUAGGCUACAUCACAGUGCCCACCGAAGCCACUGAAACCUCCCUUCUACCUAGGAUGACGCCACAUCCUGCCUUUUCCCAAGCAGCUCCUGGCCUUGCCUACCCAGGCUCUCCCUCCUCUCUGGUACAGCCUGCUCAAAGAAGGGCCAAGAAGUACAGCCUUCACAGGGCUCUCAACGAACCCCUGGGUGGAAGGCAGAAUGGAAUCCUCUUUGGACCUGUGUCCACGUUAUGGGUCAUAAAGGCCUUUAUGUGCCUAUAAAGCAGAAUUCCUGCAAAGCCUUUCCAUUCCAACAUGCUACCUGCAGUAAACUGCCGCUGUACACACACAGCCCUCAUGACCGACAGGGUCUACACACGUGCACGCCACCAGUGUCACCUGCAUCCACCUGGCUAGGAAGGGCUGCCAGGGGGCAGGGGAGUCUUAGUCCCAGCCCUGGCACCUGAUCUGGGUCUGUUGCCCCAUCUCAGUGAGUAAGAUUUCCUGCCUGGAGCCCCACCAUAACCACAGCUCAGACAUCAAACUAGCGUAAAACUCACUUUCCACUUUAUCUAUCCAUUCAGUGUCGGGUCAUUCGCUGAAGCACAGAGACAAGUCACAUGCCAACUCCUACAGCUGGGUCCCUGUGUCCCCCUCCUCAGGGUGAGUCUCCUGACCCUAACUUCCCAUCGACAGCAGUCUGGAAGCCCAAAUCCUACUCAAUGACCAGCACACAGUAGGUACUUAAGAUCAGCAGAGAAGUAACAAGGAAUCCGCUAGUUCAGCCUCCAAAGCAGAGCCUCCAUGUGUAGGGGCAGAAGAAAGGGACCUCAUUUUUUGUCCUUUGUGCAAAUUAACAAUGAUGGCUCUACAGGGCAAGAGACAUUGCUUAUGACAACUGAGGCUCAACUUCAAGCUCACCCCCCACAAGAGAGCACCUGGACGCCUCUCCGAAGAGCAACAAAUACACUUUGGAGAGUGCCGGGGAUUGCCAGGAGCGCCAACUACAUUUCCAGCCUGACACCCAGCUGCAACAAAGCAGAUUCCUUUCUUCCCUUCUCUCGAAAAGCCUAAUCCAGAUAAGCCGGACCGACAAUGGCUGCCUGGCCACGAAAGACUUCCCUUUCCCGGGUGAUGGGACUCACACCUGGUGACAUCAGCCUGGCACAGUUCUAAGUGUAGGGGUGGCCAAACACCAGCUCCCAAUGCUUCCGCACCCAAAGCCCCAGCUUCAGCCAAGAGCGACUGCCCUUCCCCUUCCCCCCACAUUGCCAGUCUAGGACUAACCUACCCAGCAACAUCAGGACAGCAGGACAAUUCCGAAGGGUAGGUACUAGGUGACGUGGUCAUAUCUUUAGCUACUGGGAAGCCAAAAAAACACUGGCAGGGCUGGCCUUCUGCUAAUGUGGCUGGAUUGUUCCCCAGAGUUUCCCAGAGGAGUGGGUCCUGGGUCUGUUGAUCUAGAACAUUCUUUUCUGUGGUCUGACUCCUGCCAAAUUCUCCCAGGAUGUGACCCCUGCCAUCAGAUGACUGAGAACAGAUGGCAAACCCUGUGACUCUCCUAAGACCCUAACCUCACGUGGACAGGCUGAACUACUUGUCGCCAUCUUGAGAUCACUGCCCAGAGACCCUCUUUUCAUGUCUUCCUCCAGGGAGCUGGCUCUAGUCUGUGUUUGGAGAAAGAGGGGGACAGGCAGCCUGUCAGGAAUACCUUUCCACACAGGUGAAUCUUUCCACACGGUCGCACCAGGAUUCGGGUGACCUCAAAUGCAAACCUUAAAUGGCUCCCAUACCUCAAUAGCCUUCAUCUCUGCGUGUCUGACAUAGGCAGCGUACUUCAGAAACUAUGGCUCCAAAGGCAAGCUAAGAGGGACAGAGAUCCCAGGUGGGCAGGGACGGGAGCCGGUGUCAGUCGUCAAGAGCACCAUUCUGCCAUCAGACCCACAGCUUCCACCCCGCCACCACCAACUGCUGUACUGACCGCUGUUGCUGCAAAAGCACCACAAGUCCCUGGGACCCAAGGUACUGACCCUGAAGUGACGCCUGAGUGACAGUAGCUCCUUGUCCAAGCCCCUUGACUGCUACGUUAAGGUAUGUGGUCAGUGGAGGAAAGAAGAAAGAUGCUUCCCCAGGGCAGGGGAGUAAAUAGCCAAAGGCCAUGUUGUCCAUGAGGUACAGUCUGCCCGAGCCAGCAGACUUGAAUGGAGAUUGAAUUUGGAGAACACGGCAGGAAGCAGGGGUCUGUGACUAUCGGGGUGAUUGCCGCUGUACUUUGCUUUGUCUUUAGCCAUGGAAGCUUCUGGAUAGAAAAACCAAACCCAGAAUUGUCACCGAGAGACAGAGUUAGCUGAGGCAACUGUAACAGUAAAGACAGAAGCGUUGGAAGAGUAUAGAGUGGUCAGGCAGAAGGCUCGAGGGGCAGGCCAAAGCUGCCCAUGGUUGAGGGAUGAGAUGGAGGGGAAGGGAGUGGUCUGGAGAGAAGAGACGGACCUUAACGAGGCUCGCGGCGGCAGGGGAGCAGGUCCAAGCACCAGACUGGGAUGCCCGGGAGAUUCCUAUCUCAGAGCACUUCAGCCUAGGAAGCUAUGGACCACAAGGAUGUCUAGAGCUCCCUACUCAGCAUGGAGUAUGUUUCACAGCAGAUAUUCUUCUACAGGUGCCAAGGUCAGGAGAAGACUGAGAGACACUGUGACAUGUCUCUUCCUCCUCCAAAUGCCUACCAGACCAAGCAUGGACAAGUGCACACCACACACACCUACC